AGUUCCUACGGGGCGCAGCAGUGGGGAAUAUUGGGCAAUGGGCGCAAGCCUGACCCAGCAACGCCGCGUGAAGGAAGAAGGCUUUCGGGUUGUAAACUUCUUUUAUCAGGGACGAAGCAAGUGACGGUACCUGAUGAAUAAGCCACGGCUAACUACGUGCCAGCAGCCGCGGUAAUACGUAGGUGGCAAGCGUUAUCCGGAUUUACUGGGUGUAAAGGGCGUGUAGGCGGGAGUGCAAGUCAGAUGUGAAAACUAUGGGCUCAACCCAUAGCCUGCAUUUGAAACUGUACUU
rnacentral:rRNA from 1 species